GAUGAACGCUGGCGGCGUGCUUAACACAUGCAAGUCGAACGAGAAGUGGAGACGGAAACCUUCGGGCGGAAGACUUUAUUUCGAGUGGCGGACGGGUGAGUAACGCGUGGGUAACCUGCCUCAUACAGGGGGAUAACAGUUGGAAACGACUGUUAAUACCGCAUAAGACCACAGCACCGCAUGGUGCGGGGGUAAAAACUCCGGUGGUAUGAGAUGGACCCGCGUUCGAUUAGCCAGUUGGCGGGGUAACGGCCCACCAAAGCGACGAUCGAUAGCCGAUCUGAGAGGAUGACCGGCCACAUUGGGACUGAGACACGGACCAAACUCCUACGGGAGGCAGCAGUGGGGAAUAUUGCACAAUGGGGGAAACCCUGAUGCAGCGACGCCGCGUGAGUGAAGAAGUAUUUCGGUAUGUAAAGCUCUAUCAGCAGGGAAGAAAAUGACGGUACCUGAGUAAGAAGCCCCGGCUAACUACGUG
rnacentral:rRNA from 1 species